GAUGAACGCUGGCGGCGUGCCUAAUACAUGCAAGUCGAGCGAACGGACGAGAAGCUUGCUUCUCUGAUGUUAUCGGCGGACGGGUGAGUAACACGUGGAUAACCUACCUAUAAGACUGGGAUAACUUCGGGAAACCGGAGCUAAUACCGGAUAAUAUUUUGAACCGCAUGGUUCAAAAGUGAAAGACGGUCUUGCUGUCACUUAUAGAUGGAUCCGCGCUGCAUUAGCUAGUUGGUAAGGUAACGGCUUACCAAGGCAACGAUGCAUAGCCGACCUGAGAGGGUGAUCGGCCACACUGGAACUGAGACACGGUCCAGACUCCUACAGGAGGCAGCAGUAGGGAAUCUUCCGCAAUGGGCGAAAGCCUGACGGAGCAACGCCGCGUGAGUGAUGAAGGUCUUCGGAUCGUAAAACUCUGUUAUUAGGGAAGAACAUAUGUGUAAGUAACUGUGCACAUCUUGACGGUACCUAAUCAGAAAGCCACGGCUAACUACGUG
rnacentral:rRNA from 1 species